rnacentral:lncRNA from 1 species
GAAACAACCCGGACAAUAACUGUGGCAUCAGGGAUCCUCUCAGCAAUCAGACAUGGCACUAUCCAGGAUUGUAAAGAAUAAAGAUGAAACAGAUUAAAGUUCGUUCCCUCAAGGAUGACUUUGGUCUGAAACUCCAAAAUGCAAACCCAAAUUGACUAAGAAGCAUCAAAACCUGAGUGAUUUGGUUACAUGUACUUUAUGUAUCUUGGUCAUCAAAGAAGAUCUAGAGGCAAGUUUGCUCACAAUUGUAUCUUAAUUUAUUCAAAAUCUUGUACAUGUGAUAGUAAGCCUUUCUGUAAGAAAGGGCUAAGUUUUAAAUUUACAGUGAAACCCUAAACCAGCUUAGUUUCAUGUGGUUUCAGAUUUUGUUAUGAAUGUUUUGGAGGAAUAAUGUUUGUUUCUGGUAAACCUUGGGAAGGAAAGUCAGA